GUAACUUCACUGUAAACUGACUUCCCUGAAGAGUGGUGGAGGACAAGGGACAGAGGCAGGAAGGGCAGACAGGCUUCACCCAGGACCCAGCAGCUUCCUCCCCUCCCCCCAAUUCACGCAGAAUUACUGACUGCACACACACCCCUUCCGUAAGUCCUGCUUCCCCUAAGAAGAAUGAAGGACAUUCUUCAGGGACUAGAAUGGGGCAGUGUUCCUACAGAUACGGCUCAGAGGACUCAGAAUCCAAGGACUCUCCUCCCAACAACUGGCUUACCCAUCUGCUGGAGGUGAGAGGCUCAUGGGCAAUGGGUUUGCAUCUGCCACUGACAGGUGGUAUGACACUGGCCAAAUCACUUCCUCUCUCCAGCCUCUGUUUCCCCAUUUGAAACCAUCUUUACAGGUUUUCCCACCUCUGACACUUGACUCUUAUUCCAGGUGACCUCCUAGUGCUAUGUGUCUGGUCCUCCUCUGCCAAAUGAAUCACCUAGAGUAAGGGAAGAAGCAAGGGAGAGGCUGCAUGCUUCCUCCUCCAUGAGACUAAGAUACUGUAGCCAUACGUGGAAGCAUGUGUGUCAGACUUAUAUAUCCCAGCUUAAGGAGCCUGAAACUUGGCUUUUUCUCUGAAAUUUAAAAAUAAAUUAAAAAAAAAAUGCUUGGGUGGCUUAGUGGUUGAGCAUCUGCCUUUGGCUCCAGUCAUUAUCCUGGGGUCCUGGGAUCGAGUCCCACAUCGGGCUCCCCUCAGGGAGCCUGCUUCUUCCUCUGCCUAUGUCUCUGCCUCUCUUUGUGUGUCUCUCAUGAAUCAAUAAA
rnacentral:lncRNA from 1 species